rnacentral:rRNA from 1 species
UAGCCAUCGACGCGUACGGGUGUUGGGAGACAUAGCCCGGAGAUGGAUUCUGAGACACGAAUCCAGACCCUACGGGGUGCAGCAGGCGCGAAAACUUGGCAAUGCGAGAAAUCGUGACCAGGGAACUCCAAGUGGCUGGGGUAAGACCCAGUCUUUUCUUGACUCUUCAACGGUCUUGGAAUAAGGGGUGGGUAAGGACGGUGCCAGCCGCCGCGGUAAUACCGGCGCCUCAAGUGGUAGUCGAUUUUAUUGGGCCUAAAACGUCCGUAGCCUGUUUGGUACAUUCGUGGGUAAAUCAACCAGCUCAACUGAUUGAAUUCUGCGAGCACGGCCAGACUUGGGACCGGGAGAGGUGUGGGGUACGCUCAGGGUAGGGGUAAAAUCCUGUCAUCCUGAGCGGACCACCUGUUGCGAAGGCGCCACACUAGAACGGAUCCGACGGUCAGGGACGAAGCCUAGGGGCACGAACCGGAUUAGAUACCCGGGUAGUCCUAGGUGUAAACGCUGUGGACUUGGUGUUGGGGACUCUCCGAGAUUCCUCAGUGCCGAAGCGAAGGUGAUAAGUCCACUGCCUGGGGAGUACGGUCGCAAGGCUGAAACUUAAAGGAAUUGGCGGGGGAGCACAAGGGCGAAUACGCGGCCGGCAUAUU